UCGGGUGUGGUGUAUGGCGCACCGCUGCUGUCAAUCCCCACAGUGCCUUCACAGUUUGAGCAGCGGGACGGGGUUCGACUCCCCGCACCUGAA